AGUGAACGCUGGCGGCAGGCUUAACACAUGCAAGUCGAACGGGCAUAGCAAUAUGUCCGUGGCAGACGGGUGAGUAACGCGUGGGAACGUACCUUUUGGUUCGGAACAACACAGGGAAACUUGUGCUAAUACCGGAUAAGCCCUUACGGGGAAAGAUUUAUCGCCGAAAGAUCGGCCCGCGUCUGAUUAGCUAGUUGGUAGGGUAAUGGCCUACCAAGGCGACGAUCAGUAGCUGGUCUGAGAGGAUGAUCAGCCACAUUGGGGCUGAGACACGGCCCAAACUCCUACGGGAGGCAGCAAUGGGGAAUAGUGGACAAUGGGCGAAAGCCUGAUCCAGCCAUGCCGCGUGAGUGAUGAAGUCCCUAGGGUUGAAAAGCUCUUUUGUGCGGGAAGAUAAUGACGGUACCGAAAGAAUAAGCCCCGGCUAACUUCGUG
rnacentral:rRNA from 1 species